ensembl:lncRNA
CACUCACACACGAAGGACAGGGCAUAUGCACACACACUCACACGCACACACGAAGGACAGGGCAUAUGCCCACACAAACACACACACACACGAAGGACAGUGUGUUGCUACACUGUAAAACCAAACAGUUCUACUAACUUAUUAACAUUAUCUAGGGUUAGGGUUAUUAACAUUAUCUAUUCAGUACUUAAAACCUGGUAUUGAGUUGACCCAACUUUAAAUGUAUUAGUUUUCUGAGCAAGUUUACUUGAGUAAACAUUACCUGAUAACUAAUAUUAUUUUUAGUAUCAUUCAAACGUGACGUCUGACGUCAUCAACGUCGUUGCAGGACUAGUUCAGAACAGAAUCAGAGACACGAUUGCGGAGAUCUUGUGAUGAGAGACGGAGACAGCAGACUUAAUAAAUGUUUAGCAUCAGUUAGACUUCUAUAAGCACGUUCCUCCUGUAGAAGAGGAGUCGACCGAAGGAGAUAUUUUAGUAAUCCUGUCGCUGCUAAGCGUCCUUAUCUGGGUUAUUCAGUUCCACCGCAUUACAAAUGUGAACCUGCGCAACACAUUCUACUCAGAGCUUGACCGAUACACACCACGACUGAUCAUUCUACUCGGAGCUUGACAGAUACACACCACGACUGAUCACCUUGUACAGGCAGAAGGCAUCACGGACUGGCAAGACAGCAGAGGUGCUACGGGUGAUCCUCGAGGCUUAUGACCUUCAGGAAUAUCAUGAUGUCAAUUUGAGACGCACUUUGUCCCUUUGUGCACUUCCUGUCUACCUGCGUGAGGAUGUUUCGGUGUUCAAGACCUGCAAUGAGGAAGAGGAGCCAGAUUUCGAUGAUGCUCCUGUUGCUCUCCUUACAUCGGGUCCCGACCCCUUCAGCUGCGGGGAACGUCUUUGUCGUUGUUGAAGGCAAUGUUGUUUUGAAUGGGGUGCAGAGGUUUUCUGAGGCAUUUAUGUUUAUGUUGUUUGGCCUGACAUAUGCUUUCAAUUUAGAAUAUCCCCAAAAAAACUCACGCACACAUUCUCAUGCAUACAGAAAAUUUGUAUGUGUCUGGAUGACAACAAACCUCUGAAACUGUCUUUCUUCAGCGUUGCAAUAAUGUUAACUUCUGCUAGCGAUGCAAAUCCUAUGAAGACGGCUGGAAGGGCAUUCAAGUGGAAGUGUAGUGCUACUGUUGAGGUCGUGUAGGUCGCUGAGAGGGAUGUUAAAACUUACUCUUCAAAACCAAACUCUCACAAAGUUAACGUCAUCCCUUUCAGCGACCUACACGACCUAAACAGCAGCAGCACUACACACACACUUGAAUGCUUUACACACACACUUGAAUGCUCUACACAAACCUUAUAAUCCUUAAUAAACAAUAAACAAUAAACAACAUCAACAGCAGCACUACACACACACUUGAAUGCUCUUCCUGCCGUCUUCAUACGCGUCGAUAGAUAGAUAGAUGCGUUGCCUAUAUGCGUCGGUAUGCACCUUCAAAAGAGAUUUGUUGAACUAAACGAUUUGUUGUUGAUUUGUUAACUUUGUUACGCUGUUCUUUAAAGCUUUGAUGCAAUCUUUUGUUUUGUAAGUAGUUUUACAAGAAAAAUAAAUAAUGUGAUACAUCUUAAGUUUUUCUCAUCUCACUCUUUUUAAUAGAAAUCUUACAUAGAUUUGAAUGUUUCUUGUAGAGUAACUUUCAGUUUAAAGUCAGUUUGUAAAC